UCAGGACCAGUGACCCGCGAUUCUUUAUCUUCUAGUGCACUGACGAGUGUUUCAGGAGUUAUAUAUUCGAAGAAGAAUCGUUCGUCACUAAAUCCACUAGUGUGUUGGACAUUCAGUUCAUUUAAGUCAUCAUGCGCAUGGAAUGACAAGGAAAAAUUAUGAUUUAUCUCCUCCAGUGACUGGUUUACCCCUGUGGGGGUUUGUGCCCGGACCAAUCCUGACCUCCUCAGGUUACUCCAGAGGACUCGCGGAUUACUACUAGAGCUAUGCGGAAGCGUUCAAGGUCUUCUGAUUUCCUGAUACGGUUCCCAGAAAGAUAGACCAAUCACAUUGCUCCAGGCGUGUCCGGAAGUGUUCGUCAUCCCAGUUUGAGAGGUCUCGAUGAGUGAUCAUGCGGGGUAAGAUCUUAGGGGGUUUAAUCCUUAGAACCACCCAAAUUAGAUCAUGAGCAGACAGGAAAGGAACCGGACACUGCCCAUGGGAGAUGACCUUGGAUGGGCUGUCAACGAUA